UGUUUUUUAUGUAGAUGGAAGCACGGGGUUUCGGUGGGUUUUAAAAUUAAGUUUCUCUAUGUUGCCCACAUUGCAAUGUCAAACAUAUGUCCAAGGUCUUUAAUUUGUGCUAGGUGAAGUCCUUUUUCACCAAGCGAUCAGCGUAACCUCCCAA